GUGCAUAGCCGGGUAGCCAAGUCGGGCCGGGAUAAACGCUGAAGGCAUCUAAGCGUGAAGCCCCCCUCAAGAUGAGAUAUCCCUCCUUCGGGAGUAAGACCCCUUGAAGACUACAAGGUAGAUAGGGCAGAGGUGGAAGUGUGGUAACACAUGGAGCUGACUGCUACUAAUAGGGUGAGGGCUUGACCAAG
rnacentral:rRNA from 1 species